rnacentral:rRNA from 1 species
AUUGAACGCUGGCGGCAUGCCUUACACAUGCAAGUCGAACGGCAGCACGGGAGCAAUCCUGGUGGCGAGUGGCGAACGGGUGAGUAAUAUAUCGGAACGUGCCCAGUCGUGGGGGAUAACUACUCGAAAGAGUAGCUAAUACCGCAUACGAUCUACGGAUGAAAGCGGGGGAUCUUCGGACCUCGCGCGAUUGGAGCGGCCGAUAUCAGAUUAGGUAGUUGGUAGGGUAAAAGCCUACCAAGCCUGCGAUCUGUAGCUGGUCUGAGAGGACGACCAGCCACACUGGAACUGGGAAACGGUCCAGACUCCUACGGGAGGCAGCAGUGGGGAAUUUUGGACAAUGGGCGCAAGCCUGAUCCAGCAAUGCCGCGUGCAGGACGAAGGCCUUCGGGUUGUAAACCGCUUUUGUCAGGGAAGAAACGCUCUGGGCUAAUACCUUGGAGUAAUGACGGUACCUGAAGAAUAAGCACCGGCUAACUACGUGCCAGCAGCCGCGGUAA